rnacentral:rRNA from 1 species
ACUCAAUAGAUACCCGGGUAGUCCUAGCUGUAAACGGUGCGCGUUUGGUGUUGGGGAGUUAGACCUCCUCAGUGCCGAAAGCUAAACGCGUUAAACGCGCCGCCUGGGAAGUACGAUCGCAAGAUUAAAACUCAAAGAAAUUGACGGGGACCCGCACAAGCGGUGGAGUAUGUGGCUUAAUUCGAUGCAACGCGAAGAACCUUACCUGGAUUUGACAUGCAUUGUGUCUCCAAUGAAAGUUGGAUAGAGUAGAAAUACUCGCUUUGCACAGGUGCUGCAUGGCUGUCGUCAGCUCGUGUCGUGAGAUGUUGGGUUUAAGUCCCGCAACGAGCGCAACCCUCGUGGUUUGUUGCCACCGGAAUUUUCCGCGCACUCAAACCAUACUGCCCAGAUUAACUGGGAGGAAGGCGAGGACGACGUCAAGUCAGUAUGGCCCUUACAUCCAGGGCUGCACACGUACUACAAUGCCCAAUCAAAUAGAACCUAGGCCGCGAGGCGGAGGAAAUCUCAGAAAACUUGGGCUCAGUUCAGAUU